rnacentral:rRNA from 1 species
UCCGGUUGAUCCUGCCGGAGGUCACUGCUAUUGGAGUUCGAUUAAGCCAUGCGAGUCGAGAGGGUUCGGCCCUCGGCAGACUGCUCAGUAACACGUGGAAAAACUGCCCUGUGCAGGGGGAUAAUCUCGGGAAACUGAGGAUAAUACCCCAUAGGUCACCUAUGCUGGAAUGCUUGGUGGCCGAAAGCUGCGGCGGCACAGGAUGUUUCUGCGGCCUAUCAGGUUGUAGUCAGGGUAACGGCCUGACUAGCCUACGACGGGUACGGGCGUUGAGAGACGUUGCCCGGAGAUGGACUCUGAGACACGAGUCCAGGCCCUACGGGGCGCAGCAGGCGCGAAAACUUCGCAAUGGGAAACCACGACGAGGGAACUCCAAGUGCCAGCACAUAGUGUUGGCUGUUUUCAAGCCUAAAAAGCUUGAAGAGUAAGGGCUGGGUAAGACGGGUGCCAGCCGCCGCGGUAAUACCUGCAGCUCGAGUGGUGAUCGCUUUUAUUGGGCCUAAAACGUCCGUAGCCUGUUAUGUAAAUGCUUGGGUAAAUCGAAGGGCUCAACUCUUCGAAUUCCGGGUAGACUGCAUGACUAGGGACCGGGAGAGGUUAGAGGUACUCCGGGGGUAGAGGUGAAAUUCUGUAAUCCUCGGGGGACCACCAGUGGCGAAGGCGUCUAACUGGAACGGCUCCGACGGUGAGGGACGAAGCCCUGGGGCGCAAACGGGAUUAGAUACCCCGGUAGUCCAGGGUGUAAACGCUGCGCGCUUGGUGUUGGGGUGGCUACGAGCCAGCCCAGUGCCGGAGAGAAGUUGUUAAGCGCGCUGCCUGGGGAGUACGGUCGCAAGACUGAAACUUAAAUGAAUUGGCGGGGGAGCACUGCAACGGGUGGAGCGUGCGGUUUAAUUGGAUCAACGCCGGAAAACUCACCAGGAGCGACUGCCGCAUGAGACUCAGGCUGAUGGUCUUAGUCGAUUAUUAGGUAGAGAGGUGGUGCAUGGCCAUCGUCAGUUCGUACCGUAAGGCGUUCUGUUAAGUCAGAUAACGAACGAGACCCUCGUCUUUAAUUGCAAGUUCGUCCUCCGGGGCGGGCGCACAUUAGAGAGACCGCUGGCGCUAAGUCAGAGGAAGGGGAGGUCAACGGUAGGUCAGUAUGCCCCGAAUCUCCUGGGCUACACGCGCGCUACAAAGGUUGGGACAAUGGGUCCCUACACCGAAAGGUGACGGUAAUCUCGAAACCCAAUCAUAGUUCGGAUUGGGGGCUGUAAUUCGCCCCCAUGAAGCUGGAAUCCGUAGUAAUCGCGAAUCAACAUUUCGCGGUGAAUAUGCCCCUGCUCCUUGCACACACCGCCCGUCAAACCAUGCGAGUGGGGUAUAAGUGAGGGUGCGUCUUCCUGGCGCAUUCGAACUUGUGCUCCGCAAGCGGGGUUAAGUCGUAACAAGGUAUCCGUA